rnacentral:pre_miRNA from 1 species
GAAGUAUUCCGUCCGUUCCAAAAAUUUUGUCUUAGAUUUGUAUAAAUAUGAAUGUAUUUAGUUAUAUUUUAAUAUUUAGAUAUAUUCAUUUCUACACAAAUUUAAGAUAAGAAUUUUGGAACGGAGGAAGUAGAUA